GUAGGUUUAAUCUGCACAGGCAGCAUGUUGCUGCUUCCAGUCCUUCUUGCAACUUUAUUUUGGUCCCGUGGAGACAUGCAGUCAGCGCCAGUGCAAACCCCAGAGAUGCACCAUCAGAUGAAGGGCAGAUCUGCCAGCAUGUCAUGCCGACUGAUGAACGAAGACAUUGUGCACUGGUACAAGCAGCUUCCUGGAGAGCCACCAAAGAGGAUACUGUACCUGUCAAGACAUACAUCUGUUUUUGAUGACGGCAAUGAUAGAAAUAGAUUUGAAGUUCGAAAGGAUGCUACUCAGCCCCUAUAUGGUCUCACAAUAAAAUCUUUAACCCCAAGGGAUUCUGGCACUUACUACUGUGCAUAUUGGCACUACACCACAGCAUUAGUUGAUCAAAGAUAAGCCAUACAAAAAGAUACUUUGUGCUUUGAACCACAAGCUCUGAACUCUGCAGCAGGAGAGGAAAAACAGCAUCUUAUGAAAACUAUUAAAUAUAUAGUGUUAACAAUCACCAUAUCACUUCAGUAUUCACAUGUAUCUGCAACAUCCAGAAACUGGAGUCUUCCCGUCUCUUAAAGGUAGAUAUAUGAAACACUGCUCUUAAAAUGAAGGCUUAAUUUUACUGAAAGCACUCACCUGACGGUGAACACAGCCAG